rnacentral:rRNA from 1 species
GAUGAACGCUGGCGGCGUGCCUAAUACAUGCAAGUCGAGCGAACGGACGAGAAGCUUGCUUCUCUGAUGUUAGCGGCGGACGGGUGAGUAACACGUGGAUAACCUACCUAUAAGACUGGGAUAACUUCGGGAAACCGGAGCUAAUACCGGAUAAUAUUUUGGACCGCAUGGUUCAAAAGUGAAAGACGGUCUUGCUGUCACUUAUAGAUGGAUCCGCGCUGCAUUAGCUAGUUGGUAAGGUAACGGCUUACCAAGGCAACGAUGCAUAGCCGACCUGAGAGGGUGAUCGGCCACACUGGAACUGAGACACGGUCCAGACUCCUACGGGAGGCAGCAGUAGGGAAUCUUCCGCAAUGGGCGAAAGCCUGACGGAGCAACGCCGCGUGAGUGAUGAAGGUCUUCGGAUCGUAAAACUCUGUUAUUAGGGAAGAACAUAUGUGUAAGUAACUGUGCACAUCUUGACGGUACCUAAUCAGAAAGCCACGGCUAACUACGU